rnacentral:piRNA from 9 species
AUUGGUGGUUCAGUGGUAGAAUUCUCGC